CCUACGGGUAGCAGCAGUGGGGAAUAUUGCGCAAUGGGCGAAAGCCUGACGCAGCGACGCCGCGUGAGGGAUGAAGGUCUUCGGAUCGUAAACCUCUGUCAGCAGGGAAGAACGGUCACUGUGCUAAUCAGCAGUGAAUUGACGGUACCUGCAAAGGAAGCACCGGCUAACUCCGUGCCAGCAGCCGCGGUAAUACGGAGGGUGCGAGCGUUAAUCGGAAUUACUGGGCGUAAAGCGCUCGUAGGAGGUAUGUCAAGUCAAGGGUGAAAUCCCCGCGCUCAACGUGUGAACUGCCUUUGAAACUGGCAAACUGGAGUGUGUGAGAGGAUAGUGGAAUUCCAGGUGUAGGAGUGAAAGCCGUAGAUAUCUGGAGGAACAUCAGUGGCGAAGGCGACUAUCUGGCACAUAACUGACGCUGAGGAGCGAAAGCGUGGGUAGCAAACAGGAUUAGAUACCCUGGUAGUC
rnacentral:rRNA from 1 species